rnacentral:rRNA from 1 species
GACGAACGCUGGCGGCGUGCUUAACACAUGCAAGUCGAACGAUGAAGCCUAGCUUGCUAGGUGGAUUAGUGGCGAACGGGUGAGUAAUACGUGAGUAACCUACCUUUAACUCUGGGAUAAGCCCGGGAAACUGGGUCUAAUACCGGAUACGACCAAUCUCCGCAUGGGGUGUUGGUGGAAAGCGUUAUGUAGUGGUUAUAGAUGGGCUCACGGCCUAUCAGCUUGUUGGUGAGGUAACGGCUCACCAAGGCGACGACGGGUAGCCGGCCUGAGAGGGUGACCGGCCACACUGGGACUGAGACACGGCCCAGACUCCUACGGGAGGCAGCAGUGGGGAAUAUUGCACAAUGGGCGCAAGCCUGAUGCAGCGACGCCGCGUGAGGGAUGACGGCCUUCGGGUUGUAAACCUCUGUUAGCAGGGAAGAAGAGAGAUUGACGGUACCUGCAGAGAAAGCGCCGGCUAACUACGUGCCAGCAGCCGCGGUAAUACGUAGGGCGCGAGCGUUGUCCGGAAUUAUUGGGCGUAAAGAGCUUGUAGGCGGUUUGUCGCGUCUGCUGUGAAGGCCGGGGCUUAACUCCGUGUAUUGCAGUGGGUACGGGCAGACUAGAGUGCAGUAGGGGAGACUGGAAUUCCUGGUGUAGCGGUGGAAUGCGCAGAUAUCAGGAGGAACACCGAUGGCGAAGGCAGGUCUCUGGGCUGUAACUGACGCUGAGAAGCGAAAGCAUGGGGAGCGAACAGGAUUAGAUACCCUGGUAGUCCAUGCCGUAAACGUUGGGCACUAGGUGUGGGGAACAUUCCACGUUUUCCGCGCCGUAGCUAACGCAUUAAGUGCCCCGCCUGGGGAGUACGGCCGCAAGGCUAAAACUCAAAGAAAUUGACGGGGGCCCGCACAAGCGGCGGAGCAUGCGGAUUAAUUCGAUGCAACGCGAAGAACCUUACCAAGGCUUGACAUAUACUGGACCGCAUCAGAGAUGGUGUUUCCCUUCGGGGCUGGUAUACAGGUGGUGCAUGGUUGUCGUCAGCUCGUGUCGUGAGAUGUUGGGUUAAGUCCUGCAACGAGCGCAACCCUCGUUCUAUGUUGCCAGCACGUAAUGGUGGGGACUCAUAGGAGACUGCCGGGGUCAACUCGGAGGAAGGUGGGGAUGACGUCAAAUCAUCAUGCCCCUUAUGUCUUGGGCUUCACGCAUGCUACAAUGGCCGGUACAGAGGGUUGCGAUACUGUGAGGUGGAGCUAAUCCCUAAAAGCCGGUCUCAGUUCGGAUUGGGGUCUGCAACUCGACCCCAUGAAGUCGGAGUCGCUAGUAAUCGCAGAUCAGCAACGCUGCGGUGAAUACGUUCCCGGGCCU